rnacentral:rRNA from 1 species
CUAUGGAAUCUUCGGCAAUGGGGGCUACCCUGACCGAGCAACGCCGCGUGAGUGAGGAAGGUUUUCGGAUCGUAAAGCUCUGUUGUAAGUCAAGAACGAGUGUGAGAGUGGAAAGUUCACACUGUGACGGUAGCUUACCAGAAAGGGACGGCUAACUUCGUGCCAGCAGCCGCGGUAAUACGUAGGUCCCGAGCGUUGUCCGGAUUUAUUGGGCGUAAAGCGAGCGCAGGCGGUUUGAUAAGUCUGAAGUUAAAGGCUGUGGCUCAACCAUAGUUCGCUUUGGAAACUGUCAAACUUGAGUGCAGAAGGGGAGAGUGGAAUUCCAUGUGUAGCGGUGAAAUGCGUAGAUAUAUGGAGGAACACCGGUGGCGAAAGCGGCUCUCUGGUCUGUAACUGACGCUGAGGCUCGAAAGCGUGGGGAGCGAACAGGAUUAGAUACCCUGGUAGUCCACGCCGUAAACGAUGAGUGCUAGGUGUUGGAUCCUUUCCGGGAUUCAGUGCCGCAGCUAACGCAUUAAGCACUCCGCCCUGGGGAGUACGACCGCAAGGUUGA